AGUAAAAUUUUCCAUGUUGGAUGUCAUUCCAAAGCUCAUAUAAAGCAUUGUUGUGUUGGUUGUUCAUAUUUUCAUUAAAGCAUGGGCUUCUUUUACAGGAUAACAGCUUGCAUGCAAAUAGAUAUGGCAUAGUGUAGAAUUAUCUAUCUUCUUGACUUCAAAGUCUUAAGAAUAUUCUAGGAUGCAUUGCAACUUCCAAUACAUGCAUCAUUGUAACAGGAGCAAGGCAAGCUUGUGCGUUGAUUUUGUCAAUAAUCUUGAACUUGCAUCAAUGGUCUGCAAAAGGGGAAUAGAAUUCAAGUCUCAGUGAGGUGGAUUACAGGCGGGACAUUGAUUUUGUUAUUCUAGAAAAUUGUUCUGCAUAAGCCCCAGCUAUAAUGAAAUGGCAGCAGAAAAUUUACAUACAUUUUGUAACUGGUGUAGGGUUUGAAAUGCUAUGAUGUGCCUUAAAUCCUUUUGGAACUUUAUUUCAGUUGAUGCUGAGUCAGAAGUUGUUUGUAGUAGUAAGGUUAUUGAGUUAUUCUAUGUUGAACAAGUAAUAAAAAGAAAAAGAAAAUCUAAUGAUGUUUCAAAAUUUAGUAUUGUGCAAGCAUUCAGCUUAUGCUGCUGAUGUGUCCUAUGACAAAAAGGUUGCUACUAGGACAUAUAUCCAUAUAAGUGAGUUUUUAGCUUUUACAACAAUGUACAAUAUGUAUUUUCUUUGUUUAUCAGGAAUUAGAAAACCAUACUGCCCAUACUUCAGAAAAUGACUAUUUGACUCAUUGAUCACUGAUAAAAAAGAAGGAUUAGCCACUGAUUUAUCCAAAUAUGAAGGAGAUAAAGGCUCAUUAUCGCAUGAUUUUUUGUAUAUAAUGGUGUUUAUGUUGUAAACUUGGAGAGCACAUUGAUAAGUGGGAUUCUCAAGAUAUAACCUUUUGAAUUCCUUGACAUUUUUAUGGUGAAUGUUGAUGCUGCAGUAUGCAAAAUUUGUGAAGCCUGCUUUCGAUGAUUUUGUUCUGCCAUCAAAGAAGUAUGCAGAUGUGAUCAUACCUCGGGGAGGUGAAAAUCAUGUUGCCAUUGAUUUGAUA
rnacentral:misc_RNA from 1 species